AGCCAGUAUAUCAUUUGCUUGACAGGGUAACUUACAACCAGCUGAAACCGGCUUAUGCUUGCACCCCAACCUUCAACUUCCCACCAUCUGAAUUACUUCCAGGCAAGAAUACAACUUCAUUUUCAUGCCGCCACAUGAUAUAAGUGAUGCUACAAAGGUGGCGUUUACAUGCAAGUUUAUUUUGGUAUUUGUUACAACCCCAAGUCAGUCUCCAUGUAUAAAUCCAGUGUAUCUCGCUAACCCCUCUUAGCUCGUGAGAACAAUUUGGUCAUUCCCAAGGCGACAAUCAAGUU
rnacentral:misc_RNA from 1 species